GCUUAACACAUGCAAGUCGAGGGGCAGCAUGGUCUUAGCUUGCUAAGGCUGAUGGCGACCGGCGCACGGGUGAGUAACACGUAUCCAACCUGCCGUCUACUCUUGGCCAGCCUUCUGAAAGGAAGAUUAAUCCAGGAUGGGAUCAUGAGUUCACAUGUCCGCAUGAUUAAAGGUAUUUUCCGGUAGACGAUGGGGAUGCGUUCCAUUAGAUAGUAGGCGGGGUAACGGCCCACCUAGUCAACGAUGGAUAGGGGUUCUGAGAGGAAGGUCCCCCACAUUGGAACUGAGACACGGUCCAAACUCCUACGGGAGGCAGCAGUGAGGAAUAUUGGUCAAUGGGCGAUGGCCUGAACCAGCCAAGUAGCGUGAAGGAUGACUGCCCUAUGGGUUGUAAACUUCUUUUAUAAAGGAAUAAAGUCGGGUAUGCAUACCCGUUUGCAUGUACUUUAUGAAUAAGGAUCGGCUAACUCCGUGCCAGCAGCCGCGGUAAUACGGAGGAUCCGAGCGUUAUCCGGAUUUAUUGGGUUUAAAGGGAGCGUAGAUGGAUGUUUAAGUCAGUUGUGAAAGUUUGCGGCUCAACCGUAAAAUUGCAGUUGAUACUGGAUGUCUUGAGUGCAGUUGAGGCAGGCGGAAUUCGUGGUGUAGCGGUGAAAUGCUUAGAUAUCACGAAGAACUCCGAUUGCGAAGGCAGCCUGCUAAGCUGCAACUGACAUUGAGGCUCGAAAGUGUGGGUAUCAAACAGG
rnacentral:rRNA from 1 species